rnacentral:rRNA from 1 species
GCACGAGCGCACCCUUGCCCUAUGUUGCCAGCGGGUUAUGCCGGGGCACUCAUGGGGAACUGCCGGUGAUAAACCGGAGGAAGGUGGGGACGACGCUCAAGUCAUCAUGGCCCUUACGCCCAGGGCUACACACGUGCUACAAUGGCCGGUACAAAGGGCUGCCAACCCGCGAGGGUGAGCGAAUCCCAAAAAGCCGGUCUAAGUUCGGAUUGUAGUCUGCAACUCGACUGCAUGAAGUCGGAAUCGCUAGUAAUCGUGUAUCAACAACGACACGGUGAAUACGUUCCCGGGCCUUGUACACACCGCCCGUCAAGCCAUGGAAGCCGGGAGUGCCCGUAGUCUGUGACCCAACCUAGUGAGGGAGCAGCCGAAGGUAAGUUCGGUGACUGGGGCUAAGUCGUAACAAGGUAGCCGUAGGGGAACCUGCGGCUGGAUCACCUCCUUU